CCUACGGGUGGCAGCAGUGAGGAAUAUUGGUCAAUGGGCGCGAGCCUGAACCAGCCAAGUAGCGUGAAGUAUGACUGCCCUCCGGGUUGUAAACUUCUUUUAUAAAGGAAUAAAGUGAGACACGUGUGCCUUUUUGUAUGUACUUUAUGAAUAAGGAUCGGCUAACUCCGUGCCAGCAGCCGCGGUAAUACGGAGGAUCCGAGCGUUAUCCGGAUUUAGUGGGUUUAAAGUGAGCGUAGAUGGGUUGUUACGUCAGUUGUGAAAGUUUGCGGCUCAACCGUAAAAUUGCAAUUGAUACUGGCAGUCUUGAGUACAGUUGAGGUAGGCGGAAUGCGUGGUGUAGCGGUGAAAUGCUGAGAUAUCACGAAGAACUCCGAUUGCGAAGGCAGCUUACUAAACUGCCACUGACAUUGAUGCUCGAAAGUGUGGGUAUCAAACAGGAUUAGAUACCCCAGUAGUC
rnacentral:rRNA from 1 species